CCCCCCCCCGCCCAGAUCUGCUCGUGAGCACCUCAGCCGCCGCCGCCGGAGAGGACUGGCCGCCGGGAGCAGGGGCGGGGUGGUGGCGGGCCUGCGCCCGCAACGGCGGAGCCCCGCUCCGGCCGCCGGAGCCAUGCCCGCCGCCGUGCCGGCCCCACCUCGCUGUUGCCGCGGACGGCCACCUGCACCGCGAGGAGCCGCCGUCGGCACCUUCGCCGGCACGUACGCGCACCAGCACUGGCCGCCGCACCACUGCACCUUGCUAGAGGAUGAUGGGCAGAGGAGGUGGGUGGAGGAGAGUCAGGAGACACAGGAGGUGGAGGGCGCCGGUGCACUGGACGGGAGAGGAGAUGGGCAGAUCCGGGCGGUGGGGAGGUGGUGCUGCGCGGAGCUAUCGGGGGCGCAUGGGAGAGAUAGAGACCGAGAGAGCGGAGAGAUCGAGAGGAGCUCUGCCAUGGCGUUGACAGAACGCUGAAGGCAAGAGAGAUACCGAAAGUCGAGACUCGAGAGAGAUCGAGAGAUGAGGAUAUUUUUCAUUUUUUUCAAUCUAGCCCUUAUAAAAUGCAGCAAUCACAAAGAAGCGGCUGCAGCUGCAUGUCAAGCAUUGUCCAGCAAACUAUGGACUGCAGCAGCCGCAAAUUCCCCCUUAUUGUUCAAUACCAUCGAUGCUAUCGUGAAGUGUGAGCCUAACAGAGCAGCAUGAAAGCUGAAUCAUUUGCAAUGGCCAGCUCAGAACAGAGCAACACGAAAGCUGAAUCAUUUGCAGCGGACACUUCAGUUCAGUGCAGCACUCAACUUGCUAUGCUCUACCAAUUCAAUCGUUGAUGGAUUGGCAUCUGAUGUCCUGUCCUGUCAGGCCAACUCAGAAGUUACAAAGUAAGAACGCUACUUUGUACUAAUGGACUUUGAGAUUAUCAGAAUAAAGAGGAAACAAUAAUACAUCAUGGCAGCUGUCAUCAGUUUUACUUAGGUGAACGUUUAGUGUAAUUGUAUUUUUACUUCAUGCCUAUGCUAUAGUGUCGUAUCUGCUUAUGUUUGUUUUGAAAAUUUGGAUUGGGAUUCCUCAUAGGAUAUCCAUGAUUUGUUUACAAGAAUUAAUGAUCUUAAGUUCUUGAGCAGAUAUGGAAAAUCAUGUUUCCUUACAGUUAAGUGUUAUGGUGA